rnacentral:rRNA from 1 species
GACGAACGCUGGCGGCGUGCUUAACACAUGCAAGUCGAACGGAAAGGCCCUGCUUUUGUGGGGUGCUCGAGUGGCGAACGGGUGAGUAACACGUGAGUAACCUGCCCUUGACUUUGGGAUAACUUCAGGAAACUGGGGCUAAUACCGGAUAGGAGCUCCUGCUGCAUGGUGGGGGUUGGAAAGUUUCGGCGGUUGUGGAUGGACUCGCAGCUUAUCAGCUUGUUGGUGAGGUAGUGGCGUACCAAGGCUUUGACGGAUAGCCGGCCUGAGAGGGUGACCGGCCUCAUUGGGACUAAGGUACGGCGCAGACUGCUACGGGAGGCAGCAGUGGGAAAUAUUGCGCAGUGGGCGGAAGCCUGAUGCGGCAACGCCGCGUGCGGGAUGACGGCCUUCGAGUUGUAAACCGCUUUCGCCUGUGACGAGGCGUGAGUGACGGUAAUGGGUAAGGAAGCACCGGCUAACUACGUG